CGGGUGAGUAACGCGUGAGGAACCUGCCUCAAAGAGGGGGACAACAGUUGGAAACGACUGCUAAUACCGCAUAAGCCCACAGCUCGGCAUCGAGCAGAGGGAAAAGGAGUGAUCCGCUUUGAGAUGGCCCCGCGUCCGAUUAGCUAGUUGGUGAGGUAAUGGCCCACCAAGGCGACGAUCGGUAGCCGGACUGAGAGGUUGAACGGCCACAUUGGGACUGAGACACGGCCCAG
rnacentral:rRNA from 1 species